rnacentral:lncRNA from 1 species
GUCAUUUGUUAUUUAGUUCUGAUGUUGAUACCUGGUUUAUUUAGUGUCCCUUUCAUGGGAUUAGGCGUGUUAGGCCGGGCAAAUAACCAAAAUACGCUGGAAUAAUGAAAAUUUAGGGACAGUGAGUCGAUGAUUGCUGGGUGUUUUCGAACUUUUAAUUACAAACAUUCAGGUUGGGUGGUCCUUCAGGCCUCAUCACCAUCAGACACCGAAAGCAUAGAACCGCCGACGACCGUACGGAAGAUCUCCAAAUCCCCAUAAUGCCCUCGAAACUGAGUGUAAUUUACGACUAUACUCCCCUUCCCACGUUGGACCCUAUACCAACGCAAAGCCAACCACAAGAGACGUCAAU